rnacentral:rRNA from 1 species
CAGUCGCCGCGGGAAUACAGAGGGUGCGAGCGUUAAUCGGAUUUACUGGGCGUAAAGCGUGCGUAGGCGGCUUUUUAAGUCGGAUGUGAAAUCCCUGAGCUUAACUUAGGAAUUGCAUUCGAUACUGGGAAGCUAGAGUAUGGGAGAGGAUGGUAGAAUUCCAGGUGUAGCGGUGAAAUGCGUAGAGAUCUGGAGGAAUACAGAUGGCGAAGGCAGCCAUCUGGCCUAAUACUGACGCUGAGGUACGAAAGCAUGGGGAGCAAACAGGAUUAGAUACCCCCGUAGUCCCUGUCUCUUAUAA